GUCAGCAGGUCGCCCGGGUCUCUGUCUCAGUGCUCAGCAGGGCAAGGACAGGACAGAACGGGCCCCAUCACAGACUGCGCUUAGAAGGAACUCAGUAAAACAAAGACCAUUUUCAUCUGGGGGUAACUCAAGGAGAUUUCCAGCAUCACCGGUACUCAAUAUUGAAGGAAUGAAAAUAUGUGAGGAAUAAAAGCAUGAAGAAAGUGACCUCUACUGCAAGGACACAGGCCCUGAGGCCUGAGACUGUGAAGGGGGCAGGCAAAGAUCCAUGCCCAGACAGGCCACCCCUGCUCUCCUGGGAAAGGGGCCGAGAGCCAGAGAGGCCGGGGCAGAGAGAGCCUGAGUGCGAGGUCCAGGCCAGGGCCUUUACCAGCAAAGACCGGCUCUUCUGCCUGCGCCCUUUGGUCAGGGAGAAAGGCAGGGGUGGGGUGUGGUCAUCUUUCCCAAGGUCCUGGAGUCAGGUCUGCUUACCAAGCCACUGUGUGUCUGGAGGCCUCCGGGCCCAAUGGAGGUCACAUUCACUGUCCUCCCGGCCCUGUCCUGUCCACUGGGUGGCUGCCCUCUUCCCACCCUCCAGUAUUGACUGCGUUGUGUGGGAUGGGGAAGACCUCCAGUCCCCUCCACCAAACAAAGCACAAGCCAAAGUGCCCGCCAGCGUGAGUGCCGUGAGCACCAUGAACCCUCUCUAUGCCGAGGGGCACACAGCCUUGAGUGUCCACGGGGGAUGGGCCGGUGGGUGCUUUCCCUCUGCCCCAGGGAAGCGGUGGUAAUCACACCUGUGAGAUGCCCACAAUCACGCGUGCAGCCAUCCGUCUCUAGGUGCACGGGGCCUGGAAGCCCAGGAGCUCCAACAUCCAGGGAGGAGGCAUGGAUCAGAUCACAAGCGCCCACCACUGCCAUCCGUGCAUACUGGGAAGGCCGAUGGCAGAGGCUAAGGAACGGGAGAGGCCAGGAAGAGUGCGUGAAGAUACAUACCAAACACACAACGCUCAACUCUCGCAGAGCUUUCUUUAAAUGCAUCUCACUUACCGAAAGAGUACCUGAAAAACAAA
rnacentral:antisense_RNA from 1 species